CGUAUAAUCACAAAAAACCUCGAGUAACAAGUUUCGAUCAGAAUCGUAGAAUUUUUAUAGUUUUUUCGAUUUCACAUCCGCCA